rnacentral:rRNA from 1 species
GACGAACGCUGGCGGCGUGCCUAACACAUGCAAGUGGCGCGACGAACCGGACUUCGGUCCGGGGCAAAGCCGCGAACGGGUGAGUAACACGUGGGUAGCCUGCCCCGAUGAUUGGGACAACCCGACGGAAACUCGGGCUAAUACCGAAUGUGCCCUGCGAUCUCAAGACCGCUGGGGAAAGGAAGCUUCGGCCUCCGCAUCGGGAUGGGCCCGCGGCCCAUUAGCUUGUUGGUGAGGUAAAGGCCACCAAGGCGACGAUGGGUAGCUGGUCUGAGAGGACGAUCAGCCACACUGGGACUGA